GGGCCUUUAGCUUAGUGGUUAAAGCAGCUGACUCAAAUCAGAAGAUCACAGGUUCAAGCCCUGUAUGGCCCA
rnacentral:tRNA from 1 species